GCAAGUCGAGCGGCAGCACGGGGAGCUUGCUCCCUGGUGGCGAGCGGCGGACGGGUGAGUAAUGCAUAGGAAUCUGCCCGGUAGUGGGGGAUAACGUGGGGAAACCCACGCUAAUACCGCAUACGUCCUACGGGAGAAAGCGGGGGAUCUUCGGGCCUUGCGCUAUCGGAUGAGCCUAUGUCGGAUUAGCUAGUUGGUAAGGUAACGGCUUACCAAGGCGACGAUCCGUAGCUGGUCUGAGAGGAUGAUCAGCCACACUGGGACUGAGACACGGCCCAGACUCCUACGGGAGGCAGCAGUGGGGAAUAUUGGACAAUGGGCGAAAGCCUGAUCCAGCCAUGCCGCGUGUGUGAAGAAGGCUUUCGGGUUGUAAAGCACUUUCAGCGAGGAAGAAAGCCUCUGGGUCAAUACCCCAGAGGAAGGACAUCACUCGCAGAAGAAGCACCGGCUAACUCCGUGCCAGCAGCCGCGGUAAUACGGAGGGUGCGAGCGUUAAUCGGAAUUACUGGGCGUAAAGCGCGCGUAGGUGGCUUGGCACGCCGGUUGUGAAAGCCCCGGGCUCAACCUGGGAACGGCAUCCGGAACGGCCAGGCUAGAGUGCAGGAGAGGAAGGUAGAAUUCCCGGUGUAGCGGUGAAAUGCGUAGAGAUCGGGAGGAAUACCA
rnacentral:rRNA from 1 species